GGGGCAACCCUGGCGGCGAGCGGCGAACGGGUGAGUAAUGCAUCGGAACGUGUCCCGUAGUGGGGGAUAACCCGGCGAAAGCCGGGCUAAUACCGCAUAUGCUGUACGGAGGAAAGUGGGGGAUCCGCAAGGACCUCACGCCAUGGGAGCGGCCGAUGUCCGAUUAGCUUGUUGGUGAGGUAAUGGCUCACCAAGGCGACGAUCGGUAGCUGGUGUGAGAGGAUGAUCAGCCACACUGGGACCGAGACACGGCCCAGACUCCUACGGGAGGCAGCAGUGGGGAAUUUUGGACAAUGGGGGCAAGGGUGAUCCAGCCAUGCCGCGUGCGGGAAGAAGGCCUUCGGGUUGUAAACCGCUUUUAGUCGGGAAGAAAAGGCGGCCCCUAAUACGGGCUGUUUUUGACGGUACCGGCGGAAUAA
rnacentral:rRNA from 1 species